GACGAACGCUGGCGGCGUGCCUAAUACAUGCAAGUCGAGCGCAGGAAGCUGACGGAACUCUUCGGAGGGAAGGCAGUGGAAUGAGCGGCGGACGGGUGAGUAACACGUAAGGAACCUGCCUCAAGGAUUGGGAUAACUCCGAGAAAUCGGAGCUAAUACCGGAUAGUUCAUCGGACCGCAUGGUCCGUUGAUGAAAGGCGCUCCGGCGUCACCUUGAGAUGGCCUUGCGGUGCAUUAGCUAGUUGGUGGGGUAACGGCCCACCAAGGCGAGGAUGCAAAGCCGACCUGAGGGGGUGAUCGGCCACACUGGGACUGAGACACGGCCCAGACUCCUACGGGAGGCAGCAGUAGGGAAUCUUCCACAAUGGACGAAAGUCUGAUGGAGCAACGCCGCGUGAGUGAUGAAGGUUUUCGGAUCGUAAAACUCUGUUGUAAGGGAAGAACACGUACGAGAGGGAAUGCUCGUACCUUGACGGUACCUUACGAGAAAGCCACGGCUAACUACGUGCCAGCAGCCGCCGUAA
rnacentral:rRNA from 1 species